rnacentral:rRNA from 1 species
UAAGGAAUAUUGCUCAAUGGGAGAAAUCCUGAAGCAGCAACGCCGCGUGGAGGAUGAAGGGUCUAUGACUUGUAAACUCCUGUAAAGAAGGAAAAAAUUCCCAUUUGAUGGGAGAUGAUGGUACUUCUGGAGUAAGCCCCGGCUAACUACGUGCCAGCAGCCGCGGUAAUACGUAGGGGGCAAGCGUUGUCCGGAUUUACUGGGUGUAAAGGGUGCUCAGGCGGAUUUGUAAGUCAGAGGUGAAAUCUUACAGCUUAACUGUGAAACUGCCUUUGAUACUGCAAGCCUAGAGUAUGGAAGAGAGUGAUGGAAUAUCUGGGGUAGCAGUGAAAUGCGUAGAUAUCAGAUAGAACACCAAUGGCGAAGGCAGUCACUUGGUCCAUUACUGACGCUAAAGCACGAAAGCGUGGGUAGCAAACA